rnacentral:rRNA from 1 species
GAUGAACGCUAGCGGCAGGCUUAAUACAUGCAAGUCGAGGGGCAGCAGCUUUAUAGCAAUAUAGAGGCCGGCGACCGGCAAACGGGUGCGGAACACGUACACAACCUUCCUUUAAGAGGGGGAUAGCCCAUAGAAAUGUGGAUUAAUACCCCGUAACAUAUCGGUGUGGCAUCACAAUGUUAUUAUAGUUUCGACGCUUGAAGAUGGGUGUGCGGCUGAUUAGGUAGUUGGCGGGGUAAAGGCCCACCAAGCCUUCGAUCAGUAGCUGAUGUGAGAGCAUGAUCAGCCACACGGGCACUGAGACACGGGCCCGACUCCUACGGGAGGCAGCAGUAAGGAAUAUUGGUCAACGGACGCAAGUCUGAACCAGCCAUGCCGCGUGAAGGAUGAAGGUCCUCUGGAUUGUAAACUUCUUUUAUAGGGGGCGAAAAAAGGGAAUUCUUUCUCACUUGACAGUACCCUAUGAAUAAGCACCGGCUAACUCCGUGCCAGCAGCCGCGGUAA